GGGUUGGCAGGAGUAGAACCUGCUGGGAAGUGCUGCUCGCUGAUUUUCAACUUGAGUGUUGAAGUUACUUUUGUACACUGGAUGUUUUUUGUAGGUUGUUGGUGUUGAACUGUUAAAAUUGUAUCAGUGCUGUUGUAAAAUGUAUACUCAGCGGAUCAAGCAAACACUGCCAGCUGUUCCUUUGGCAUUUGACCUUCCUGUGGUAGGUGCUCUGAUACCACCAGUAGGACAGGACAGCCUAUAGGAUCACCUAUGCGACUGGAAGACCGCAAAUACGAAGUGAUGAAUGAUGGGCAGCCUGAGAAGGUAAUUGUCUUUGACAUAUUUCUUGCAAUUCAACUCACUGACUUAUAAAGAAAUUAUGUAACAUAUUAUUUAUGGACUAACUAAAUGAAUAUUCUUUGGUGCGUGAGAAAGUUUCAUUUUUUUCUUUCAUCACACUGGAUCAUUCAGGGCCGGAGGGCUGCCUACAUCACUGGAGGACUUUCUAUUUCCCCUGUGUUUGAAAGUCGAAGUGAUGAAUGAUGAUCAACCUCAGACUACCUACAGCACCGGUUGAUCGCCUACAGGACCAGAAGUUUGUCCAUAUCCACUGUAUCGAGAAACAAGAAGUGUUGUAGGAAGAUCAGCCCUUGAAGAUUACCGUCACUCAUCGGACUUUUCGGCUAGAAGGCACUG